rnacentral:rRNA from 1 species
UACGUAGGAUGCAAGCGUUGUCCGGAAUUAUUGGGCGUAAAGAGUUCGUAGGCGGUUGCCUAAGUCUGUUGUUAAAGGCCUGAGCUCAACUCGGGUAUGGCAAUGGAUACUGGGCAGCUAGAGUGUGGUAGAGGUCACGGGAAUUCCAGGUGUAGCGGUGAAAUGCGCAGAUAUCAGGAAGAACACCCGUGGCGAAGGCGGCUCUCUGGGACGGUACUGACGCUGAGACGCGAAAGCGUGGGGAGCGAACAGG